rnacentral:tRNA from 1 species
CCUUUGAUAGCUCAAUUGGCAGAGCAGCAGAGUGUAGCGAGGAACCCAGGCGUCCUUAGGUCGCUGGUUCAAAUCCGGCUCGAAGGA